ACGAACGCUGGCGGCGUGCUUAACACAUGCAAGUCGAACGGAAAGGCCCUGCUUUUGUGGGGUGCUCGAGUGGCGAACGGGUGAGUAACACGUGAGUAACCUGCCCUUGACUUUGGGAUAACUUCAGGAAACUGGGGCUAAUACCGGAUAGGAGCUCCUGCUGCAUGGUGGGGGUUGGAAAGUUUCGGCGGUUGGGGAUGGACUCGCGGCUUAUCAGCUUGUUGGUGGGGUAGUGGCUUACCAAGGCUUUGACGGGUAGCCGGCCUGAGAGGGUGUCCGGCCACAUUGGGACUGAGAUACGGCCCAGACUCCUACGGGAGGCAGCAGUGGGGAAUAUUGCACAAUGGGCGGAAGCCUGAUGCAGCAACGCCGCGUGCGGGAUGACGGCCUUCGGGUUGUAAACCGCUUCCGCCUGUGACGAAGCGUGAGUGACGGUAAUGGGUAAAGAAGCACCGGCUAACUACGUG
rnacentral:rRNA from 1 species